rnacentral:rRNA from 1 species
GAUGAACGCUGGCGGCGUGCCUAAUACAUGCAAGUCGAGCGAACAGACGAGGAGCUUGCUCCUCUGACGUUAGCGGCGGACGGGUGAGUAACACGUGGAUAACCUACCUAUAAGACUGGGAUAACUUCGGGAAACCGGAUCUAAUACCGGAUAAUAUAUUGAACCGCAUGGUUCAAUAGUGAAAGACGGCUUUGCUGUCACUUAUAGAUGGAUCCGCGCCGCAUUAGCUAGUUGGUAAGGUAACGGCUUACCAAGGCAACGAUGCGUAGCCGACCUGAGAGGAUGAUCGGCCACACUGGAACUGAGACACGGUCCAGACUCCUACGGGAGGCAGCAGUAGGGAAUAUUCCGCAAUGGGCGAAAGCCUGACGGAGCAACGCCGCGUGAGUGAUGAAGGUCUUCGGAUCGUAAAACUCUGUUAUUAGGGAAGAACAAAUGUGUAAGUAAAUAUGCACGUCUUGACGGUACCUAAUCAGAAAGCCACGGCUAACUACGUG